rnacentral:rRNA from 1 species
CAGUAGCCGCGGGAAUACGGAGGGGGCUAGCGUUGUUCGGAAUUACUGGGCGUAAAGCGCACGUAGGCGGCUUGGUAAGUUAGAGGUGAAAGCCUGGAGCUCAACUCCAGAAUUGCCUUUAAGACUGCCGAGCUAGCAGGUGAGAGAGGUAAGUGGAAUCCCGAGUGUAGAGGUGAAAUUCGUAGAUAUUCGGAAGAACACCAGUGGCGAAGGCGGCUUACUGGCUCAUACUGGACGCUGAGGUGCGAAAGCGUGGGGAGCAAACAGGAUUAGAUACCCCCGUAGUCCCUGUCUCUUAUAA